rnacentral:lncRNA from 1 species
UGCUUCCUUCCUUGUGGUAGGUGCUCAUCAAAUUGCUCAGCCCCAUGUGGAGGAAGCGAGCCUUUUAUGCUUCCAACACCUAGGGCCACCAGGUAAAGACCAGAAAAUAACAUAGCUGCUUGGCCAUCAUCAACUUUGACCCUUUUAUGCCUCCAACACCUAGGGCCACCAGGUAAAGACCAGAAAAUAACAUAGCUGCUCGGCCAUCAUCAACUUCUUCACAUGCAAUGUUUCUGUUAAUUGAUGUACAAAUGGGUGGCCUCAGAGAAGGUAUGCGAGCUUGUACUGUGAGAAUCAAUAGUCCCUGUUCCAGUGUUUUUCAGUUAGUAACAAACCACGCUACAUAAGAUACUAAUCAUUUUUACAGUGGUUGUCAAGUCUUAAAAAGAAGAAAGGUUACUUGUCAUUUUCAAUAUUCUGUAACAUGUUAAGAACUUUCAGCGAGAUGAGGCCUCUCUUUUUGAGCAACUUACUUUGUUACAGAAAAAAAAAUAGGCCCAUGCCUAGGCGUCCACCUUUUUCAAGGUGAUAAAGUCCUGAAACUUCUUGGUAAACAUCUUGAUCAUUUCACAAUUUUACCUGGUGAAAUUGGAUAAAGGGAUUGUAUUUAUUUGCGCAAUACCUGUCUUCAGUUGCAUUCUCCCAUUUGAAUUAGUCGUACAGUAACCUUUCAUUAUUUCUCCAAGAAGAACUAAAUUACACUUCUUAUCAAAGUAGUAUGUCUUUAUCAUUUCAAUGUAUUGAAAAUGAGCUACCCGAGUUUUUAUAUCAACGAUCGUUAUGGGGUGAAUGGAUUCUUUCCCUGCAGACCAUAUUCAGCAUUUCUGAUUUCCGAUUUGACAGAACUAAGUCAAGACAUGUAAAUUUUAAUGUAUGACAUUUGUUCUUCAAUAUCUGCAUGGUACCCACCUAGGAGUUGGCUUAUUCUCUAACCAGUCACUAGAACAAAGGAGUUAGCAAGGGCUGAAAAUCCUUUUGUUCUAUGUGUUUAGCAAAGUUAUGUGUAUGCCUUUGCAUUAGAUAAAAAGGUCAUCUGGUUUGUGAAUGUUACUUUACAAAAAAUGAUAUCAAGAGAAAAGUUCUUACCGUAAAUUCAAUUAUUGCACUUGUCAGGUAGAUGCAAUAAGUGGUGAAGAAUGCAUCAGAUAAGAACCCACCAAGUAGAGCGAGAAGGAAAGCGGUCCCCAUAAAGUUUGUUACUAU